GUCAAAGUUCACACAGCUGACCUCCCAACAGGACUCUUCCAUGUCGCUGCAGAACCGCCUGAGCAACAUGCCAGCUGAAAAGGUCAGGGGUUAGAGGUCACAAUGAUGAGGAGUGACGUAUCGCCUGUGAAACCCAAAUGUCAACUGCCUAUUAUGUAAAUUGUGUUUUUAUUAAUAAUCAGCAAGAGCUGGUAAAGAUAAGUAGGCCACAACCUGAGGCUGGCUAGUCAAUGGUAUUGUCCUAUAUACAUCAUGGAAUUAAUGGAAUAGGCCCUUAUGACCCAAAACCGUGAGGAGGGCAUACCCAAGCUGGCGGAGCUGUAUCAACAACCAGGGUUCAGAGACGACAUGCCCGUGCCCCUGCCACACAGCACCGCCUUCUCUACCAUUGUCAUCCACGUAGUGAGGGCACAGCCACAACUCACCCACAAGAUACAGCACUGCCCCGUCUGUCAGGAAGCUCCUCAUACUCAAAUAUGACGUCCUGAAUUUAAGCAUAGGAGUUCCCCAGUACCCUGGCCCAGACCGUAGCACAGCAGCACCAUCCGCAGUGACACCCUCCUCAUUCCGGUGUGCUUCACUGCCUACCAGUGGGCAGGAGGUGAC
rnacentral:lncRNA from 8 species